GAGUUUGAUCCUGGCUCAGAUUGAACGCUGGCGGCAUGCCUUACACAUGCAAGUCGAACGGCAGCACGGGUGCUUGCACCUGGUGGCGAGUGGCGAACGGGUGAGUAAUACAUCGGAACAUGUCCUGUAGUGGGGGAUAGCCCGGCGAAAGCCGGAUUAAUACCGCAUACGAUCUGAGGAUGAAAGCGGGGGACCUUCGGGCCUCGCGCUAUAGGGUUGGCCGAUGGCUGAUUAGCUAGUUGGUGGGGUAAAGGCCUACCAAGGCGACGAUCAGUAGCCGGUCUGAGAGGACGACCAGCCACACUGGGACUGAGACACGGCCCAGACUCCUACGGGAGGCAGCAGUGGGGAAUUUUGGACAAUGGGCGAAAGCCUGAUCCAGCAAUGCCGCGUGUGUGAAGAAGGCCUUCGGGUUGUAAAGCACUUUUGUCCGGAAAGAAAUCCUUGGUUCUAAUAUAGCCGGGGGAUGACGGUACCGGAAGAAUAAGCACCGGCUAACUACGUGCCAGCAGCCGCGGUAAUACGUAGGGUGCAAGCGUUAAUCGGAAUUACUGGGCGUAAAGCGUGCGCAGGCGGUUUGCUAAGACCGAUGUGAAAUCCCCGGGCUCAACCUGGGAACUGCAUUCGAAACUGGCAGGCUAGAGUCUUGUAGAGGGGGGUAGAAUUCCAGGUGUAGCGGUGAAAUGCGUAGAGAUCUGGAGGAAUACCG
rnacentral:rRNA from 1 species